rnacentral:lncRNA from 1 species
UGUUUAUUGUAGGACACAAGAGAAUGAAAUUUGAGAAAUGAAAUGGAAGAAAGUUUAUAUAAAGAUUAUGUAUCUAUAUGUAUAUGUAUAUGUACCUGGGAAAAGGACUGUUUUUCACAGCUUUUUGGCCAUAUUUACGCCACCUAUAGCCAUCAUCUAGGUGAUCAACUUCACUCUUUGUCAUGAAAGCAAACCUGGGUUCUCUUUCCUUUUUUUGGUUCUUUUUCUUUGGUUUCAAUCUGUAAUAAGAUUUUUAUACAAAAUCACCAUUAGUUAGUAUAAUUAUGGUUCUCUUUUUUUAAUAAUGACACAUAAAAAAAUGAAAAAUAUUUUUGUAAUAUAUAUUGUGAUUUUUUUACUUUUUACAAGAUUUUUAGUUAGCUAAAACCCUUAAUUCUAUUUUAUUUAAUAAUUUCUAGACUAAUAAAAAUGAUAAAGUGAUUAAAGGAAGAAAUAAAAACAGAGACAAAUGAUGAGAAUAGCAACGACAAGAACAGAAGGAUAUUUUAAGUUCAAUGAAUAGAAACAGAAACUGUUUCAUGUUUCAUUAAAAUAUCUCCACUCAUCACGCGUUUUCUUAAUUGUCACAAAAAUAAAUAAAAAAGAGAAAAAAAUAAAUAGAAGUUUUUAAUUAUUGAUUAAUGGUAAUACUCACUGUUUCUUAGUCUUGUCUUGAUCUUGGUCAUCUCCUUCUAACUCUGCUUCGAUUUUUGAAAGUUUACUUCUAUGCUGUUCUAAGGUGUUGUUAACUGUGGCUUCAUUAGACGACGAAGAUAUCGAAGAAGAAUUCGGUGACACCGGAGUGUUAAACACCUCGGAUGAGUCCGGGAUGUUAGAACUCCCGGGUGACGGAAGAGUGUGAUGGGUUGUUGUUGUUGUGGCGACGGUGGGAACCCAAUCCGAUAAUAAAAAAGUGUUGUUGUUGUUGUUGAUGUAAUCAUGGGAACCCAACAAGUCCAUGAAACCAAAAGAAGAAGAUUUUUGGUCACAAGAGGAAGAUGGUAUGGUAUCAAAGAAGGUAGAGAUUGAAGGUUGAAAAGGGAAUAAAGAUGUGUUGUUGUUGUUGAUGGUGGUGGUGGUUGUUGGAAUCUCAUCGGAGAAUGCCAUGGUGGUGGUGGUGGUGGUGGUGGAUGAUGAGUUGGUGGGGUUUGUGUGCUCCUCUCUCUUCUCCUCCUCCAUUGAUUUUUAUGCUGUUAUGUAUCAAUACAAAGCAUGGCACAUAUUCCUUUUUUUAUUUUUAUUUUAUUUUUGCUUUUUAUUUUUGUUGAGAGAUCUUCCUUUUUUUUUUAUCAAAACUUGAAAAGGGAAAUGUGCCAAUUAAUAUUUCAACUAUUAUUUUGAAAGAUAUAGAAAGAGGAGAGAGAAAAAGUAUGAAAGGG